CGUGCCAGCAGCCGCGGUAAUACGAAGGUCCCGAGCGUUGUUCGGAAUCACUGGGCGUAAAGGGAGCGUAGGCGGCGCGGUAAGUCGGAUGUGAAAUCCCGGGGCUCAACCCCGGAACUGCAUCUGAUACUGCCGUGCUAGAGUAAUGGAGAGGUAGCUGGAAUUAUCGGUGUAGCAGUGAAAUGCGUAGAUAUCGAUAGGAACACUCGUGGCGAAAGCGAGCUACUGGACAUUUACUGACGCUGAGGCUCGAAGGCUAGGGUAGCGAAAGGGAUUAGAUACCCCUGUAGUCCUAGCAGUAAACGGUGCACGCUUGGUGUGAGGGGAAUCGACCCCCCUUGUGCCGGAGCUAACGCGUUAAGCGUGCCGCCUGGGAAGUACGGUCGCAAGACUAAAACUCAAAGAAAUUGACGGGGACCCGCACAAGCGGUGGAGUAUGUGGCUUAAUUCGAUGCAACGCGAAGAACCUUACCAAGGCUUGACAUGCAUCUCUAAUCACUUGAAAGCGUGUGACCCUUCGGGGAAUUUG
rnacentral:rRNA from 1 species